AUGAGGGUGGAGCCCCAGGGUGGAUUAGUGCCCUUAUAUGGAGAGGAAGGGACACCAGCACUUUCUUCUCCACCACGUGAGGACCCGGUGAGGAGUGAGAGGCCUCCCUGGAGCCCACCCUGCUGCCACCCAACCCCCAACUUCCAACUUCCAGGACGAGAUGAGCAAGACCUGAUUCCUGUCCCUAAGGAGAGGCUUCCGGGUGGACUGGACGUGAGUCAUCACCUGAAGUUUGAGAUGUUGACCCCACAGGGUCCCCCUCACAGGUUCCAAGGGACGGGACUUUUGGGAAGGGGGACCCUGGUCAGGCCAACAGACAGUGAAGAUUCGGAGCUCCCAGGCAGGAGGAGGGCCACACGUGCAGACAGGCCGGCCAGCAGGAGCGGAGGUCGGAGGCUCUCAGACCCACCCGUUCUCUCCAGCCUCGGGGUCACGGCCAGCCAGCCUGCCUCUCACACUAGUGGGACCAGGGCAAGAAUUCGGGGCACAGGGGUCGCAGAACCCACGUUCGGAAACCCUCCAGUGAGAACCAGCUGCUGCUGCCCAGUGCACUCUGGGCUCCCGUCCAGCCCCCCACUCCGGCCGCAGACACAGGGAGCAUCGGGCCGGGGCGGCCUCACAGCCCAGGAUGGAUCCUAACCCACGCAGGGAGGACGUGCGCGGCAGGGAGCCCUCGGAGGCUGGCGGCUGCUCCCCAGGUGCGCCCUGUGCCUCUCGCCUGGGAGCUCCACCCGAGGGAGCCCGACGCCCUGUCCCCACAAAACGCGCGUCCCAAUAUUAACAGCAGCAGUGUUUCUAAUUUCCAAAAUGUGGAAUCAACCCAAAUGUCCAUGGACUGAUGGCGGCUGAGACGGCCGAAGCUCUCCACCCGCUGGAAUUCCGUCACCUGCAGCAGGGGCGAGGCCCCCACGAACCCCGGCGGACCCCCAGCCACGCGCUCGGCGAGGGAGCCACACACAGGAGGCCCCACGGGGUGGCAGGACGGCUCGUCCACGGAGAGGGGCUGGGCGCUGGGGACGGGAAGGGAUGGGGCUUCUUUUUGGGGAGAUGGAAUGUUCUAAUGUGGAUGGUGGUGGAUGCCGAGUGCUGUGAAUAUUUUUUUAAAAAUCACUGAACUGUGCACUUUUGGGCGAGAAUUGUAUGCUAUGUGACUUUGUGACUUGUAUCUCAAUAAAGUUGUUGGGGAAUCCCAGCUGCAGUCCUGGGACACCCUCCCCUUGGUGGAUCUGAUUGCCGCCUCCCUCUCCACAUCUGGGCUGCGUCCGGGACUCGCCACUCGUGGGGACCCCCUGCCCACCGCAGGACCAGAUCCCACGUAAGACGUCCCGCUGCGCUGCAGCCGUGGGGACGUGGGACCCCACGGACCGGGAGAGGGGGUGGCUCAGGCCCCAGCCUGGCCCGCCCGCGAGCUGGACGCCACCCAGGGACCCCAUCGACCCGCCUGGGACAGAGGACCUCCCCUCUGAGCCCCACUCCCGACUCCCGGAACUGUGAGACGUAAGCCAGUCUGUAGCUGUUACCCCGAGACAGACCCGGACCCACGUCUCGGAAGCUCCCGGGAAGCCUGAAG
rnacentral:lncRNA from 1 species